rnacentral:rRNA from 1 species
AACGAACGCUGGCGGCAUGCCUAACACAUGCAUGUCGAACGAGACCUUCGGGUCUAGUGGCGCACGGGUGCGUAACGCGUGGGAAUCUGCCCUUGGGUUCGGAAUAACAGUUGGAAACGACUGCUAAUACCGGAUGAUGACGUAAGUCCAAAGAUUUAUCGCCCAAGGAUGAGCCCGCGUAGGAUUAGCUAGUUGGUGAGGUAAAGGCUCACCAAGGCGACGAUCCUUAGCUGGUCUGAGAGGAUGAUCAGCCACACUGGGACUGAGACACGGCCCAGACUCCUACGGGAGGCAGCAGUGGGGAAUAUUGGACAAUGGGCGAAAGCCUGAUCCAGCAAUGCCGCGUGAGUGAUGAAGGCCUUAGGGUUGUAAAGCUCUUUUACCCGGGAUGAUAAUGACAGUACCGGGAGAAUAAGCUCCGGCUAACUCCGUG